GACACUGUCUCUUCACAAUCGAUUGUCAUUAGCUUCACAAUCGAUUAUUUUGAGCUUUGAAAAACUUUGAUGGACACUGCCUCAUCACAAUCGAUUUCCAUAAGGUUCACAAUCAAUUGUCAUGCAGAUUUGAAAAAGCUGUUGCUCACUGCCUUAACACAAUCGAUUGUCAUUAGUUCACAAUCGAUUGUCAAGCAGCUGAC
rnacentral:lncRNA from 1 species